UACGGGGGGGGCAAGCGUUGUUCGGAAUUACUGGGCGUAAAGGGCUCGUAGGCGGCCAACUAAGUCAGACGUGAAAUCCCUCGGCUUAACCGGGGAACUGCGUCUGAUACUGGAUGGCUUGAGGUUGGGAGAGGGAUGCGGAAUUCCAGGUGUAGCGGUGAAAUGCGUAGAUAUCUGGAGGAACACCGGUGGCGAAGGCGGCAUCCUGGACCAAUUCUGACGCUGAGUGAGCGAAAGCCAGGGAGCAAACGGG
rnacentral:rRNA from 1 species